GGAAGUAGAGGGGAAUGUGUGUCUGUGAGUUCCAGCAGCUUACUCUACAUAGUGAGUUCCAGUCGCACCAUAUAGUAGAGGAAUUUUAAUUCAGAACAUGGCUGUUCUGGCAAGAGAUCACAUCCAAAGACCUUCUCAGUCUGUGUGAUCCGGGCUGGAAUCCAGGAGACAGAGAGAAUGCCCUUCAAAAUCCCAAAAGGCACGCUCACUCGCCGAACGAUCAUCCAUCAUCGAACGAAGGAAAGACCG